UUAGGCUGUCGCCUUCGUGUGCGCAUGCGCCUGGUUUGGCGGAGCUUUGCUGUUCACUGGCGGGAGGAGGGAACUGCCGCCGCUGGUGAAGCAUGACAACAGGAAAGGCACCGGUUCAAUCACCUGAAGAAACUCAUUGACAGAGGAAAAAGCUGAGGAAGGACCUGGAGGUGUUCUCCUUUCCGGGGAGGAGCAGGUGGAUCGGUAGGAGGUGUCCGCCAGUUCUCCGGCGAAGAUGCGGACUUCGUCUGCGGUAAUAGAAGAAAGCUGGGCAGGAAAAAGUGACAGAUGUUGGAGGCCCACGCCGAGCAGAAAAGCGAGAGUGGGACUGUCAGACAUGUCGACUCCGGCGAGGUGAUGGAUGGAGAGUGAGCUCUCAAUCUGUGCAUCCCCUCCACCUCCUCCUCCUCCUCCUCCGUACACCUUUCGGUCAGAAGAGGAAGAGGCAGCCCAGCCCAGCGAGAGACGCUGAGAGGAUGAAACUCUGACACGCCGGACGACCACAGGGAAACAACCGCACAACUAUAAUUGCACCCGCAAAGGUCAGCCAAGAAUCCCGCCGUAAGCGCCAAAGUGAAAGCUACGGGACUACAAUUACGCGGAGAGUCGGACUGCGGAGAGAAGUGAAUGACAGAAGGCGGCUGCUGUUUGGCUGCACUCCUCCUAGACGCCACC